rnacentral:rRNA from 1 species
AGUGAACGCUGGCGGUAGGCCUAACACAUGCAAGUCGAACGGCAGCACAGGGGAGCUUGCUCCUUGGGUGGCGAUUGGCGGACGGGUGAGGAAUACAUCGGAAUCUACUCUGUCGUGGGGGAUAACGUAGGGAAACUUACGCUAAUACCGCAUACGACCUACGGGUGAAAGCAGGGACUCUUCGUACCUUGCGCGAUUGAAUGAGCCGAUGGCGGAUUAUCUAGUCGGCGGGGUAAAGGCCCACCAAGGCGACGAUACGUAGCUGGUCUGAGAGGAUGGUCAUCCACACUGGUACUGAGACACGCUCGAGACUGCUAAGGGAGGCAGCAGUAGGGGCUAUUGGACAAUGGGCGCAAGCCUGAUCCAGCCAUAACGCGUGGGUGGAGAAGGCCUUCGGGUUGUACAGCCCUUUUGUUGGGAAAGAAAUACAUCUGGUUAAUACCCGGGUGGGAUGACGGUACCCAAAGAAUAAGCACAGGCUAACUUCGUGCCAGCCGCCGCAGUAA